GAUGAACGCUAGCUACAGGCUUAACACAUGCAAGUCGAGGGGCAGCAUUAAAGUUUGCUUGCAAACUUUAGAUGGCGACCGGCGCACGGGUGAGUAACACGUAUCCAACCUGCCGAUAACUCGGGGAUAGCCUUUCGAAAGAAAGAUUAAUACCCGAUGGUAUAUUUUCGCCGCAUGGUGAAACUAUUAAAGAAUUUCGGUUAUCGAUGGGGAUGCGUUCCAUUAGGCAGUUGGUGAGGUAACGGCUCACCAAACCUUCGAUGGAUAGGGGUUCUGAGAGGAAGGGCCCCCACAUUGGAACUGAGACACGGUCCAAACUCCUACGGGAGGCAGCAGUGAGGAAGAUUGGUCAAUGGGCGCGAGCCUGAACCAGCCAAGUAGCGUGGAGGAUGACGGCCCUAUGGGUUGUAAACUUCUUUUAUAUGGGAAUAAAGUUUGGUAUGUAUACCAUUUUGUAUGUACCAUAUGAAUAAGGAUCCGCUAACUCCGUGCCAGCCGCCGCGGUAAAAC
rnacentral:rRNA from 1 species